rnacentral:lncRNA from 1 species
GGUAUGGUUGCAAAUGAGACAGCUAUCCAAUGCCAAAAGGACAACUAUAGGUCACUGUACUGCCUCUAAGGUUGUUUAAUCUCCUGUUGCUAGAUGAAGUAGAAUCAGUCCAUUUGUUAACUGUUAUCUCCUCUUGAACAUGUUGAAUAUUUCUAUUAAUUGGUGUUAUAAGCCACUUUCAGCACUAAUGCAUUACGGCUAUUUUGUGGAGGACAGUUUUUUUGGUAAAGAUUGCAUUUCAUGCAAUCGAAACUCUAUAGUAAUGACUUUAUAUCUAUAUAUUUUAAGGUUUAUCAAAACUUUUGAGAUACCCA